rnacentral:rRNA from 1 species
UUUUUCAACUUAAAAAAAAAAAAAAAAGCGAAGCAGGGUUGGGCCUGGUUAGUACUUGGAUGGGAGACCGCCUGGGAAUACCAGGUGCUGUAAGCU